rnacentral:lncRNA from 1 species
GGAAACAUAAUGUCCUGAUAAAAAAACAACAGGGCUUCUUGUGCUGAGUGAAAAAUAGAACUUAUGCACUUCUUGGAUAAUUCUCUUGGAUGGCCUUCUAUUAAUUUUCUGGGAGAAAACUCAUGGCAUCAUAACGUCAGCUUCCCCCAAUAUUUUUCUACUUUGGAUAGGAGGACUACCUCUCAGCAUUUCCUGUAAUGGCAUUGCACACCUGUAUACCCAGUCUUUGGCAAUACACAUUACAGAUACUGGCCAAAAAAGAAUUAGAAAAUCAGUGUCAAAGUUGGAUUGUGGUCCCUGAAGACUUAGAUUAAUGGAAUUCUGCUGGAAACAUAAAGGUUGUUUCCCUGCUGUUCACAUCUGUUGCAUCCUGGGAAAAAAACAAAAAGGAAGAUGUUAUGUGAAGAGCUGAUGUUUGCAUCGCCGACUCUCCCUGAUUUGUGCUGAUGAUAGCUGAAGCUGCAGUCUUGGCAUCUUCUACUGCACAUUGUCAUCAGCAAGGUAAGAAGUGCCUUUUGCCUCCUGCCAUGAUUCUGAGGCCUCCCUCCCCAGCCAUGUGGAACCAUCCCAAACUGCCUGUAUCUCUCCUUGUUAUGCCUCAUUCAUAAAAAG